rnacentral:rRNA from 1 species
UACGUAGGGGCCAAGCGUUGUCCGGAAUCAUUGGGCGUAAAGCGCGUGUAGGCGGCCCGAUAAGUCCGCUGUGAAAGUCCAGGGCUCAACCCUGGGAUGCCGGUGGAUACUGUCGGGCUCGAGUCCGGAAGAGGCGAGUGGAAUUCCUGGUGUAGCGGUGAAAUGCGCAGAUAUCAGGAGGAACACCAAUGGCGAAGGCAGCUCGCUGGGACGUGACUGACGCUGAGACGCGAAAGCGUGGGGGAGCAAACAGG